UGGGGGAAUAUUGCACAAUGGGCGCAAGCCUGAUGCAGCCAUGCCGCGUGUGUGAAGAAGGCCUUCGGGUUGUAAAGCACUUUCAGCGAGGAGGAAGGCGUUAAGGUUAAUAACCUUAGCGAUUGACGUUACUCGCAGAAGAAGCACCGGCUAACUCCGUGCCAGCAGCCGCGGUAAUACGGAGGGUGCAAGCGUUAAUCGGAAUUACUGGGCGUAAAAGCGCACGCAGGCGGUUUGUUAAGUCAGAUGUGAAAUCCCCGAGCUUAACUUGGGAACUGCAUUUGAAACUGGCAAGCUAGAGUCUUGUAGAGGGGGGUAGAAUUCCAGGUGUAGCGGUGAAAUGCGUAGAGAUCUGGAGGAAUACCGGUGGCGAAGGCGGCCCCCCUGGA
rnacentral:rRNA from 1 species